rnacentral:rRNA from 1 species
GACGAACGCUGGCGGCGUGCUUAACACAUGCAAGUCGAACGGAAAGACCCUGCUUUUGUGGGGUGCUCGAGUGGCGAACGGGUGAGUAACACGUGAGUAACCUGCCCUUGACUUUGGGAUAACUUCAGGAAACUGGGGUUAAUACCGGAUAGGAGCUCCUGCUGCAUGGUGGGGGUUGGAAAGUUUCGGCGGUUGGGGAUGGACUCGCGGCUUAUCAGCUUGUUGGUGGGGUAGUGGCUUACCAAGGCUUUGACGGGUAGCCGGCCUGAGAGGGUGACCGGCCACAUUGGGACUGAGAUACGGCCCAGACUCCUACGGGAGGCAGCAGUGGGGAAUAUUGCACAAUGGGCGGAAGCCUGAUGCAGCAACGCCGCGUGCGGGAUGACGGCCUUCGGGUUGUAAACCGCUUUCGCCUGUGACGAAGCGUGAGUGACGGUAAUGGGUAAAGAAGCACCGGCUAACUACGUG